GAGAGAGAGAGAGAAGAGGAGGGAAACACUGAAGAGAGACCGGCGUGACGACGUGGCGCAACAACGCAACGAUCUGGCAGAAAUUUCGAACGCACCGUGAAAGCAUAUGCAGUGACUUCAGAGGAUGCCGCACCGGAGGAGCCGGUUCGGGCCGAGCAGGGUCGGCUCGAAGACUAGUUUCACUUAAUAACAGCGGAACGUGGCCGACCGUGCGCUCCUGACGACUCGG